rnacentral:rRNA from 1 species
UACAGAGGGUGCAAGCGUUAAUCGGAUUUACUGGGCGUAAAGCGUGCGUAGGCGGUUCGCUAAGUCGGUUGUGAAAUCCCUGGGCUUAACCUGGGAACUGCAGUCGAUACUGGUGGACUAGAGUACGGUAGAGGGUGGCGGAACUCCGGGUGUAGCGGUGAAAUGCGUAGAUAUCCGGAAGAACACCGAUGGCGAAGGCAACCACCUGGGCCUGUACUGACGCUGAGGUACGAAAGCGUGGGGAGCAAACAGG